UACGGAGGGUGCAAGCGUUACUCGGAAUCACUGGGCGUAAAGAGCGCGUAGGCGGGAUAAUAAGUCAGAUGUGAAAUCCUGUAGCUUAACUACAGAACUGCAUUUGAAACUGUUAUUCUAGAGUAUGGGAGAGGUAGGUGGAAUUCUUGGUGUAGGGGUAAAAUCCGUAGAGAUCAAGAGGAAUACUCAUUGCGAAGGCGACCUACUGGAACAUUACUGACGCUGAUGCGCGAAAGCGUGGGGAGCAAACAGG
rnacentral:rRNA from 1 species